CCCUUCUGUGUGUCACACUUUUAUUGCCACUUGUUUGGCUUCAUUUCGUAGCCAUUCAGGGGCCUAACCUGCUGCAUAUGGCAGAGCAACACAAACACAAAUUAUAAAGGAUUUUUGUUCUCCCUACCUGACAAAUAUUUGAGCUCCAGAAGCCUCUCCACACUUUAAAUCACUCCAUCUUAAAAAUGUAUUAUCAAGGCUCCAGGUUUGAUGGAGAAGCUCUGCCAAGGUGAGGGAUAACUCCAGCCAGCCCAGGGUUACCAACAGAGGUGAGGUCCUUGUCUAAGUACAUAUUUCUUUUGGAAAACUGCUCGAGAACCAGAAAAAAAAACAAAAACAAAAAAAAAGGAGCUGAGCUCAGGGCUCCAC